GCUACCACAAACUACCAGCGUUUGUACCAUAUAUACCAGACGACUACAUCUGUUUUACCACAUGUUGAAGCAAGACUUCUGCUGUUUGUUCCAGACCAGGACUCUGUCUGAGGAGAGCUGAUGGAGGAGCUGAGACGCUGGAGGACGACUAGGAAUCGACCAACAAGGAUUCCUCAACGUGUUUCUGGAGCGGAGGCGAGCUGGUAGGGGAGCCGUGAAUCUGGAGGAUGACCAUCACUCUACCAACAAGGAUUACGUUGGGGCCAGACUCGCGCUGUUUGUUCCAGACCAGGACUCUGGCUGAGGAGAGCUGAUGGAGGAGCUGAGACGCUGGAGGACGACUAGGAAUCGACCAACAAGGAUUCCUCAACGUGUUUCCGGAGCGGAGGCGAGCUGGUAGGGGAGCCGUGAAUCUGGAGGAUGACCAUCACUCUACCAACAAGGAUUGUACACCAGGACUCUGGCUGAGGAGAGCUGAUGGAGGAGCUGAGACGCUGGAGGACGACUAGGAAUCGACCAACAAGGAUUCCUCAACGUGUUUCUGGAGCGGAGGCGAGCUGGUAGGGGAGCCGUGAAUCUGGAGGAUGACCAUCACUCUACCAACAAGGAUUGUAAAUUUGUAUUAACCAAACAACAAAGUGGAAAUAAAGGGCUUAAAAAUAAGACAAACUACAUGUUUGUUACCAGACGUUACUACAGCUGCUACUUUGUUGCGCGCCAUAAGAGCCCAACUACUCCUGUGUUUGUGACCUUACAUUAGAGCCCAACUACUACUGUGUGUGUGUUACCUGAUAUUGGAGGCAAACUACUUCUGUGUUUGUGACCUUACAUUAGAGCCCAACUACUGUGUUUGUUUCCUGAUAUUAGAGACGAACUACUACUGUGUUUGUUACCUUACAUUAGAGACAAAUUACGUUUGUAACCAGACCAGGAAUCUGGAGGACUGAUGGAGAAGCCGUACAUCUGGAAGGCAAAUCCUGUGGACAACCAGGACGCUACCAUCAAGGUUUCCUCACACACCUGAGCUGAACCUCACCUGAUCCUGUUUGGUCAGGGGCAGACACACCUGAGCUGAACCCGCCCUGACAUCCUGCUAGUCCCGUCUCCUCAGUUCAUCUGCGCCUCGUCCUCCAGAAGACCUGCUGAGCUCAGCAGUCUGAGGCUGAUGGAUCAAUGACCUCCAGUGGGAGUGAUCUUCUUGACCCCACAUGUAACCGUGUGCUUCCACACGCCUUUCCCUCACAUCUGUCACUAACCUCACUACUUCACUACUGCUUCCUCUUCUUCCUUUUCUGUG
ensembl:lncRNA